rnacentral:lncRNA from 1 species
AAAUUUCAAUUAUCAAAAAGAAAAUAUUGUGUGACUUGUAUUCCUCAUCAUAUGAAUUAGAAAGACAAAUGAGAACAUUAUACAGAAUUCUGGAUAACAAAUAAAUCAAGAAACAAAUUCUUGAAAUUGGAGUUUCAGCCAUCAAUCGUCCACCAUGUCUUCUAUACAUGAGCCUAGAAGACAUCCCUUCUAGAGGACUUACACUUGUCUAGCAUCACCUAUCAUCAAUCAAGUAUAUUAUGUGGAUUCUCAGUGUUUUGCAGGAGUCAAACAAGAUACUUAAGUGCACUUGAAAAUUCUACCAUUUAUAGGAAUAUUAGCUGCAAAACGAGAAAGAAAAAGGCAAAACAACAUCCUUCAAGUACUUUAGUGAAGUGAUCAAAGUUCUAUAAUUUUCCCUCUAAUUAUAUGAGUUUAGACUACCUGAUAGCUCAUCCAGGGAUUAAGGCAGGCGCCACUCCAUCUGUCUCCUACCCUACAACGCAACACAAACUAAUUAUCAAACAUUGUUUAUCAGGUUAUCUUGAAACUUCCACAAAAUCAGCAAUACCACUACCAGGUACCGUCAUCCAGUUAAUCAAUUUACCUUCCUUUAUCAAACAUAAUGCACAUUAAUAAAACAAUAACCAAUUCUUUUACUUUGAAUGCACUAGAAUUCUGUAUUAAAGAGGGGGAUAAAGGAAGACAAGAAUUAGAUAAAUGCAGACUCACAUUAUAACAAGUAAAAGGUAAGACACGUAGAUAGUGAAAAGUGAAAAGGUAAAAUGGAUUUGUUUUGUGUAACAAAGGAUAUUGGCUCUCCAAUAUGUCAAAACUUUAUAUUCAACUAUUCAACGACAGGAGACGUUGUUCUAACAAAACAAAGGCAAAAAAAAAAAAACACACUCCAAUGAAGAUUGUUCAAUUGUUUUAACAGAAAAGUCCAAUCGAAAAGGCAAGUGGAUUUUCAUAUUGCUAAUCCCAUAAAGAAAUAAAAAAAAGAAAAAUAGAAGACACUCUCGGUUGUGAGCGAUGGUAAUGUUUUCUAACGUGAACCAAUAUAUGAGACCAGGAACUAGAUGCAUCGGUAAACAUUAAUACAGCACCAUUAGGCCUGAAAACUUAGUUCUGACUGCCGAAAAGGCCAAAAAGUUUCAGACUUUUCCAAUUCCCACAAGAAGAAACAGCUAUUUAUAGCCAAGAAAUGAUUGUUUCAGAUUAAGAUUCACAUAAAUCCCACGAAACAUGGAAAAACAAAAUGAGACAAUAACCAAGGCCAGCCAUAAAUCCAAAACAACUGGAGUAACAAGCAUAUAUCAUGAUAAACAUCUUAUAUAGAAAACUAAAACAGCACAAUGUCAUAAGAAGGGUGAAAAACAAUUUGAUAGCUGAAGAUACAAUGCCAUUUUAUUACCAAAGUAAAAUAAAUAAAUUAAGAAUUACCUCGACCAUGCCAGAACUUUCAAAGAAAUCAAUGCAAUGGAGCAGGAAUUAGAACUCCUAUGGUAGGUUUUUUUACUUUGUGAGAAAAUAAAGGCAGUGGAGAGUUGGGAGCUUCGCUAGGUUAAGUUUUGAGAGAGGCGGCGAUACUCCAUGUGGAGGGGUAUUUACAAGGAGAAGGAAACAAAAGAAACCCAGAUAGGAUAGCGGACACAAAAAAAGAG